AUGAAUUUUCUGCUUUAUACUUAUCAUUUUCCCCUCAGGCCAGGAACCAUCACUCUGCAGGCCCUUUCAGAAGCUAACAGAAGGCUAUGGAUGGAAGCCAUGGAUGGGAAAGAACCUAUCUACCACAGCCCUAUAACAAAACAGCAAGAAAUGGAGCUAAAUGAAGUGGGCUUCAAGUUUGUCAGGAAGUGCAUCAAUAUUAUUGAGACCAAAGGUAAGAUCUGAACCACAGCCUUGGCAUUGUCUGAAUCUGGUCACUCUGAUUUUAUCCUGGGCAAUUUCUCUGAGGUAGCAUUUUAGGAAUGAAGACUGUUUACAAAGCUUGUGUAGUAGAUACAAGCUAGAAAAUUUCAGAAAAUUCUAAACUAGUGGUAUGUAAG
rnacentral:lncRNA from 1 species